rnacentral:lncRNA from 10 species
GAGGCUGCGGGCCGGACUCAGGUCUGCGGGCUGACCCGGCCGCUCCCGCGCCCUGGGCGUGCCGGGGGCCGGAAGCAGAGGGCGCAGGGCUCCAGGCGCCUGGGUUUCGGGCCUAACGGGCGGUGGAGAUCAGCUGGGCCCGAAAGAGGCGGGGCCAGAAAACCUGAGUCUGCAGAAACGGGGUGUGCGCGCCAACGCGCUGGGCGCGGGGACUGGGCCGCACCCGGCGCUCCCUGCCCUGCGGACUCCGGCUGGAGCUUGAUUUGCAGUUUGCUAGACGCCACCAUUAAGAGAUUGCCAGACAGCAAAGAAUAGAAAGAGUGGCGCUUUUAACUUUUGUUUUGGUUGGUUGAAUUUUUUUUUUCCCUCUCGGCUGGCAUUAACAGCGGUGAACCAGCCGGCUUAUACCAAGACUCUCCGAAUUCCCUUCGAUUCGAAGGUCAGCGUCUCCUGAGUUAGACGUCGAAUCUGAGAAUGGUGGUGUACCACAGAGCUCGAAAGUGAGCCCGAAAGUUGGCCGGUCACUAAGACAAACGCUCUGGCUUCACGCUGCAGUUCUAAAAUGCCGCCUUUAACUGUGAAGUACUUUUUAACUGUGAGGGAAAAAUAGAAUACGGAAAAAAAAAGGACUGAACCCGUGCCUCGGACCAGGGUCUAGUAGGCUGAAGGUUAGCGCACCGAGCAGAAUAGAAACGUGGACGUGACUUGUAGGUCACUGAGAAGUGACCUCAGCCAUCCAGGAAAAAACCAGCCAGCGAGCUUUCUUGGACUGUAAACAAUUGCACUUAACUCCGUUUGUCCUUGAGUGCAGAGGACAUUUCAGCUUAGCAAACUCUAGACUUUAUGAUGGGACCCUGAGCCGUGCAACAGAGGGAUAAGGCAGCUUCUCGUUUUAGGAACUUACCUGAUGUGGACCCCUCUACAUUAGUCUCAUCUGAAGAUCCGUCCUCCUAACCCAGCACUCACACAUUUGCAGCUCCAGGAUGUGCCCUUCUCUCAAAACUGUGCCUUAGCUGUGCCCUGUGACUACACACCUUUCUUUCACUUCUGGCCAGCACCUCCUGAGGUAACUAACCAGCUCUGCGGACGAUAAGCUAUCUGAGUUCAGAGCCCAGCUUGUAGGUUACCUUAAGCCUCUGGUGACUAUACACUGUAUGUAUGAUUUAUUUAUCUACCCUACCUACUAGGUUUUAGGGCAAGCAUGCUUUUAAAAACUCGUCAUCUCGUGGUUGGCAUAGUACCCAGCACGUAACUUACGUAAGUACUCGUCUUUACAAAACUAGUGGAAUGCAGCAGGUACUAUGUUCGGUAUCACAUAAUGUCUCAUUUCAUCUCUAUAACAAUCACAUGGCCGGGCGCGGUGGCUCAUGCCUGUCAUCCCAGCACUUUGGGAGGCCGAGGUGGGUGUAUCACCUGAAGUCAAGAGUUUGAGAUCAGCCUGGCCAACAUGAUGAAACCCUGUCUCUACUAAAAAUGCAAAAAUUAGCCAGAUUACAGGGUGGUUACUCACCCCUGUAAUCCCAGCUACUUGAGAGGCUGAGUGGGAGAAUUGCUUGAACCCAUGAGGCGGAGGCUGCAGUAAGCCGAGAUCACGCCACUGCACUCCAGCUUGGGUGACAGAGCAAGACCCUGUCUCAAAAAACAAAAACAAAACAAAAAACCAGUCACAUGAGGAAGCGUUAUGAUAAGACACAACAUGAGUUUCAAGGGCCUCCCACCUCAGCCUCCCAAGAAUCAAGUUUUUAAUAUGCUUUCCAUAAUAUCCUACAACCUGUUAGUAGCCUAAAAUAUAUAUUUUGGUAAUGGCAUGGCUCACCCAUUUACCUGUUGGACUUAGGCAGAAAUGUGUGAUUCCAUGAAGGUCUGAUAAAUGGUCCAAAUGAUAUCCAUUUGCUGUAUUCCACUAAUAGCUGUGUAUAAUUUACUUUUCCCUUGCUGAAAAUGUAUACAAACUAUCAAUGUGUGGGUGUGUUCUUGAGGGUCUAUUAGCCCAGCCAUAAAUGGUAAUUGUUACGAUUUCAGUUAUUAUAGAUGGCGUAAUUCAGGCUCACGGAGAGUAAGUAUGAAAUUACUAGCUAAUAAUUAGAAGAACUAAAUUUCUAACCAAAUUCUCUGAGUCUUCCAGCCACCGAGGAAAGGGAGAAUAGAGCACCAAAGUAAAAGAACAUGGCAAAUGUAUUUUCCUGUUGUUCCUAUGUUAUCUUUUAAUCCAACUCUACAGUCUGUAACAGGCCAGCUAAAUAUCUUUUCCUCAAAACAUUAAUAAAAAUGCAUGCUAAAUACAAAUAUAAAACAUUGAACAGUUAGUAUCUAUUAAUAGAAGCAAACAAUUUUCAGGAGCAAAAUAACAAAAUUCUGCUGGAAUCUGGGCAUAAAAUUCUUACACUAAAAGUACAUUUACUUAGUAUUGGGUAGAAAUAUACUUCAACAAAUUGAGAUAAACUGCUUUAACACUAACAUUUAGAAGUUUUGACUAAAAUGUAAAUCGAAUAUAUUAUACGUUCAGCAUUCAGUUAUAAGAUUAAUACAUCAUGACAAAGUAAGAUUUAUCCCAGAAAUGUAAAGAUGGCUAAAC